rnacentral:rRNA from 1 species
CAGGGAUUGCCCUAGUAACGGCGAGUGAAGCGGCAACAGCUCAAAUUUGAAAUCUGGCCCCAGGCCCGAAUUGUAAUUUGAAGAGGAUGCUUUUGGCAAGGUACCUUCUGAGUUCUCUGGAAUGAGACGCCAUAGAGGGUGAGAGCCCCGUAUAGUCGGUUGCCGAGCCUCUGUAAAGCUCCUUCGACGAGUCGAGUAGUUUGGGAAUGCUGCUCAAAAUGGGAGGUAAAUCUCUUCUAAAGCUAAAUACCGGCCAGAGACCGAUAGCGCACAAGUAGAGUAAUCGAAAGAUGAAAAGCACUUUGAAAAGAGGGUUAAACAGCACGUGAAAUUGUUGAAAGGGAAGCGCUUGUGACCAGACUUGGGCUUGGUGGAUCCCCUAGCGUUCUCGUUAGGGUACUCUGCCUGGUUCAGGCCAGCAUCGGUUUUUCUAGGGGGAUAAAAGCUCUGGGAACGUAGCUCUUUCGGGAGUGUUAUAGCCCACUGCAAAAUACCCUUGGGGGGACCGAGGACAGCGUUCGCAUGGAUGCUGGCGUAAUGGUUACUAGCGGCCCGUCUUGAAACACGGACCAAGGAGUCAAGCAUUAGGGCGAGUGUUAGGGUGUAAAACCCGCACGCGUAAUGAAAGUAAACGUAGAUGAGAGCUUCGGCGCAUCAUCGACCGAUCCUGAUGUAUUCGGAUGGAUUUGAGUAAGAGCCUUACCGCUUGGACCCGAAAGAUGGUGAACUAUGCCUGUAUAGGGUGAAGCCAGAGGAAACUCUGGUGGAGGCUCGCAGCGGUUCUGACGUGCAAAUCGAUCGUCAAAUAUGGGCAUGGGGGCGAAAGACUAAUCGAAC